UACGUAGGGCGCAAGCGUUAUCCGGAAUUAUUGGGCGUAAAGAGCUCGUAGGCGGUUUGUCGCGUCUGCUGUGAAAGACCGGGGCUCAACUCCGGUUCUGCAGUGGGUACGGGCAGACUAGAGUGAUGUAGGGGAGACUGGAAUUCCUGGUGUAGCGGUGAAAUGCGCAGAUAUCAGGAGGAACACCGAUGGCGAAGGCAGGUCUCUGGGCAUUAACUGACGCUGAGGAGCGAAAGCAUGGGGAG
rnacentral:rRNA from 1 species